rnacentral:rRNA from 1 species
GACGAACGCUGGCGGCGUGCCUAAUACAUGCAAGUAGAACGCUGAAGGAGGAGCUUGCUUCUCUGGAUGAGUUGCGAACGGGUGAGUAACGCGUAGGUAACCUGCCUGGUAGCGGGGGAUAACUAUUGGAAACGAUAGCUAAUACCGCAUAAUAGCAGUUAUUGCAUGAUAACUGUUUGAAAGGUGCAAUUGCACCACUACCAGAUGGACCUGCGUUGUAUUAGCUAGUUGGUGGGGUAACGGCUCACCAAGGCGACGAUACAUAGCCGACCUGAGAGGGUGAUCGGCCACACUGGGACUGAGACACGGCCCAGACUCCUACGGGAGGCAGCAGUAGGGAAUCGUCGGCAAUGGACGGAAGUCUGACCGAGCAACGCCGCGUGAGUGAAGAAGGUUUUCGGAUCGUAAAGCUCUGUUGUAAGAGAAGAACGAGGGUGAGAGUGGAAAGUUCACACUGUGACGGUAUCUUACCAGAAAGGGACGGCUAACUACGUG